GCAUAUCAAUAAGCGGAGGAAAAGAAACCAACAGGGAUUACCUCAGUAACGGCGAGUGAAGCGGUAACAGCUCAAAUUUGAAAGCUAGCUCUUUUAGGGUUCGCAUUGUAAUUUGUAGAAGAUGCUUCGGGUGUGGCCCCGGUCUAAGUUCCUUGGAACAGGACGUCAUAGAGGGUGAGAAUCCCGUAUGUGACUGGGUGCUUUCGCUCAUGUGAAGCUCUUUCGACGAGUCGAGUUGUUUGGGAAUGCAGCUCAAAAUGGGUGGUAAAUUUCAUCUAAAGCUAAAUAUUGGCCAGAGACCGAUAGCGCACAAGUAGAGUGAUCGAAAGAUGAAAAGCACUUUGGAAAGAGAGUUAAACAGUACGUGAAAUUGUUGAAAGGGAAGCGCUUGCAACCAGACUUGCGCGCUGAUGAUCAUCCGGGCUUUUGUCCGGUGCACUCGUCUGCGCUCAGGCCAGCAUCGGUUUCGGUGGUGGGAUAAAGGCCUUGGGAAUGUAGCUUCUUUCGGGGAGUGUUAUAGCCCUCGGUGCAAUGCCGCCUACCGGGACCGAGGACCGCGCUUCGGCUAGGAUGCUGGCGUAAUGGUUGUAAGCGACCCGUCUUGAAACACGGACC
rnacentral:rRNA from 1 species